rnacentral:rRNA from 1 species
CAGCGCCACGAGUGGUAAUCGCUAUUAUUGGGCCUAAAGCAUCCGUAGCCGGCGCUGUAAGUUUUCGGUUAAAUCUGUACGCUCAACGUACAGGCUGCCGGGAAUACUGCAGCGCUAGGGAGUGGGAGAGGUAGACGGUACUCGGUAGGAAGGGGUAAAAUCCUUUGAUCUAUUGAUGACCACCUGUGGCGAAGGCGGUCUACCAGAACACGUCCGACGGUGAGGGAUGAAAGCUGGGGGAGCAAACCGGAUUAGAUACCCGAGUAGUCC